UUAGAUCAUUCUGUGAUGAAAGCAGUUAUCCAAAAAGUUCUCCAGAUGGAAGGAGUGCCAAGUCAGAGGCUCAAAGAUUUGGAAAGAGAUAGUUUAACAGAAAAGAUUUGUCCUUGGAGAACAUGCUUUCAGUCGGGAAGUGAAUGGAUGUCUAGAAAACGGGAGCCAGCCAAGUGGUGAGGAGCGCAGAGUGGAAAUAGCAGAGAAAAAGAAGUCCCCCAAACCUGUUUGCAAACUUUGCAUGCCCAGGAGAAGCAAGUCUGAUGGAGAAA